GACGAACGCUGGCGGCGUGCUUAACACAUGCAAGUCGAGCGGUAAGGCCCUUUCGGGGGUACGACGAGCGGCGAACGGGUGAGUAACACGUGGGUGACCUCGCCCUUACGCUCUGGGAGUAAGCCUGGGAAACUGGGUCUAAUACCGGAUAUGACUCCAUGACGCAUGUUGUGGGGUGGAAAGCCUUGUGCGGCUAGGGAUGGGCCCGCGGCCUAUCAGCUCGUUGGUGGGGUGAGGCCUACCAAGGCGACGACGGGUAGCCGGCCUGAGAGGGCGACCGGCCACACUGGGACUGAGACA
rnacentral:rRNA from 1 species